rnacentral:misc_RNA from 1 species
CAAUCAAGCCUCGCUUGGUAUUAGGUCUCGCCCCCUUAACCGGGCGGCGUGCCUCAAACACCUCGGCGGAGCCACACCGGCUUUGAGCGUAGUAGAAUUAUAUCAAUAACGCUCUGUGGGACGGUGGGACUCUUGCCGCGCAAGCAAACAUAUUUUACCAGGUUGACCUCGGAUCAGGUAGGGAUACCCGCUGAACUUAA